rnacentral:rRNA from 1 species
GUCGAGGAUAUUUAGCAAUGGGGGAAACCCUGACUAUGUGACGCCGCGUGAGGGAUGAAGGUUCUCGGAUCGUAAACCUCUUUCGAUGGGGAAGAAGUGCUGCAUACUAAUAUUAUGCAGCAUUGACGGUACCCAGAGAAGAAGCCACGGCCAACUCCGUGCCAGCAGCCGCGGUAAUACGGGGGUGGCGAGCGUUACUCGGAUUUAUUGGGUGUAAAGGACAGGUAGGCGAUCUGCCAAGUUGGAAGUGAAAUCCUUUGGCUCAACCAAAGAACUGCUUCCAAAACUGGCGGAAUUGAGGCUGGAAGAGGAGAGCGGAAUUCCCGGUGUAAGGGUGAAAUCUGUAGAUAUCGGGAGGAACACCAGUGGCGAAAGCGGCUCUCUGGUCUAGAUCUGACGCUGAGCUGUGAAAGCUCGGGGAGCAAACAGGAUUAGAUACCCCUGUAGUCC